GACGAACGCUGGCGGCGUGCCUAAUACAUGCAAGUUGAGCGCUGAAGGUUGGUACUUGUACCAACUGGAUGAGCAGCGAACGGGUGAGUAACGCGUGGGGAAUCUGCCUUUGAGCGGGGGACAACAUUUGGAAACGAAUGCUAAUACCGCAUAAAAACUUUAAACACAAGUUUUAAGUUUGAAAGAUGCAAUUGCAUCACUCAAAGAUGAUCCCGCGUUGUAUUAGCUAGUUGGUGAGGUAAAGGCUCACCAAGGCGAUGAUACAUAGCCGACCUGAGAGGGUGGUCGGCCAAAUUGGGACUGAGACAACGCUCAAAACCCUAAGGGAGGCAGCAGUAGGGAAUCUUCGGACAUGGAGGAAAGUCUGACCGAGCAACGCCGCGUGAGUGAAGAAGGGUUUCGGAUCGGAAAACUCUGUUGGUAGAGAAGAACGUUGGUGAGAGUGGAAAGCUCAUCAAGUGACGGUAACUACACAGAAAGGGACGGCUAACUACGUG
rnacentral:rRNA from 1 species